rnacentral:piRNA from 1 species
UGGUGUUUGCUAUUGGACUGAACCUGCUG